rnacentral:rRNA from 1 species
CCCUUAGAUGUUCUGGGCCGCACGCGCGCUACACUGACUGGUUCAUCGAGCUUACAACCUUGACUGAUAGGUCUGGGUAAUCUUUUGAAAGCCAGUCGUGCUGGGGAUAGACUGUUGUAAUUUUCAGUCUUCAACGAGGAAUUCCUAGUAAACGCGAGUCAUCAACUCGCAUUGAUUACGUCCCUGCCCUUUGUACACACCGCCCGUCGCUCCUACCGAUUGAGUGGUCCGGUGAGGCUUUGGGAUCUGAGCGGAAAGAGCGUUUCGCUGUUUCUGCUCGGAAAACUCAGUCGAACCUUAUCAUUUAGAGGAAGGAGAAGUCGUAACA